CUGCCUCAUGUCAGAAGCAUGGGCUGAUUGCAAUACUUUCUAUGUUGUACCAUUAUAACUCUUCCAUCUGCUGUGGCAUGUGCCCAGCAUGGCGGCUGCUAGGAAAGGAGGCCAGUGUUUAAGGAUUUGGAUGCAGCUGUGGCAGAAGAGGUCCCAAACCUCCACAACCUAGCUCCAUCCCUCACUGGAUCCAAUAAGGCAAGCCCAGAGCACAGGAUUUACCUUAUGGCUGAGGUCCUCCAACAAAUCUACCUUAGAGAAGGCAGCAUCCUCCCAUUAUUGGGUGGUUAGCUUAUUCAGAGAUGGAGGCAGGCCUUUUGCCUUUGCUGCUCAAACCCUUCUGUCACUGGGAGUGUGCCCAGACAGACUGCAGAGCAGCUUUAGCUCUUCCAGCCCAACAUUUGCUGUGUGCAGGAGGCAGGGAGAGCUCAGCCCUGCACCUUGAAUGCCUGCCUGGUCGGAAGGGAGGGCUCCUGCUCCAGCAAAGGGACUUCAUAAGAAGUCUGUACAUUUGAAUGAGAAGCAUGAAGAGCAGCCUUCCUGCCCCCUUCGUAGCCUGUUGCCUGUACUUACUGCAUGCUCCUACCAUGUGUGUUUAAACCCCAUCCAGGGAAAAACAGGAUCCUGAGGAAAGUGUCAGAGCAAGGAGUAUGUAAGCAUCUUCACCUGGUAGGGCUUUUGACUGGCACAGGGAGCUGGGGGUGGGUGUCUCAGUGGUCUGACAUGGUGGAAGAUGUGGACAGAGAGGUCUGAGUAGCUAACUUGUUGUUUGGAAAUGGUUUCCUGGUUGCUUGCUCUUGAGAUGACUCUUGGCUUUACUACAGGGGUCACUGCCUUCUGUGCUGGGCAGGAGGGGAGGAUCCUCAGCACAGCCUGCAUCCUCUGGGUGACAAGGAGGAGCCAUACUUCAACAGAUGUCUUUUCCUUCCCUUUUAAUAGUGUAAGAGGAUCAGGGCAGCUGUGCUUUAUAGUUUCUGGUCUAAGCCCAUGCCACAUUUAUUUUGAAAGCUUUCCUGUGUUGAAUGCUUGUGGUCCUGCCUGUAAAGCUGUGCUUCCUGAGAUCCUUGCUCAUAAUAGUCCUCUGCACUUUCUUUGGUGUUUGAUAUUCUCCAGUUAUGCUUCUAGGUUUGCUUUAACAUAUCCUCGUUGGUAGCCUUACGUUUGUGUGAACCUCUCACAGCUGUUAGGAUGACUGAUCCCUGAGCAGCACGCAGUUUCAUGUGUGACUUUAGCACGCAGUCAGCUGAGGGCCAUAUGCUUGCAGCGGGCUGGAAAAGAAAGCAAGCCUUUAAUGUAAGGCCACAGAGAAAACGUUGCAUUCAGAUUUGAUUUUUUUUUUCUCAGGUUUAACUUGUCCACUGUUUCUUCCAGUCUGCAGGCGAAGAAAAGCACUCCGUGUCAGUGGGCGCAUACAGUGACUCUCUCAAACUGAUUUAAGUUAGUACGCAGGAGGUCCGUGGGUUCUCCAUACGUCUGUCGUGGUUCUGCCACCUCAGGUGACACCACGGUGGAUGCAAAGCUAAGCAGCAUCCGUGGAUUUAUUUUGUGUUGGUCUAAAAGCACUGAGUCCCCUGAACUCCGCUGAAAUCUUCCUUUGACUGUGAUGGGAAAACUGGAUUGUGAACAGACAAUAAUCCUCAUCUGUUUAGCUUGGAAUGACUUGGGGGAAGCUGGUGACAGCGCUAGAGGAAAGCAGAGAACCUGAAGUUUUGAAAGUUAAAGCAAAAAAAAGUCUCCAUUUAUAUUGCAAGAGCAAUCAAGAUUUUCUUUAAGAAGAUGCCUUCCUCAAAGUUUUUAUUUUAAGAACAGAGUGUUCAGAGAUGAGGCUCCAUGCAUAGUUUUGCCAUGUUUAUAAAGUCGUGGAAGCAUCUGGAUGCAGUAUGGAAACCUUCAACAAAAAACUUUUUGAAGUCUGUUUUUAACAUAAUCAUCUGGGCUUUCUCCACUAAACUACGUUUUUAUUGGAUUUGGAUGGAAGAUGAGGCCAAAAGAAGCUGGGGGAAAAAAAAAAGGAACACGAACAGAAGUGUACAGGAGUGUGACCAUUGUUCUUCCUGUUGGGAAGUCUUCUGCUUAUCGGCCCACUUCAGGAUAGCUGGUGAUGCCUCCUGUUCCCCGCAUACACCAGCCCUUCACUGGAUUCAACACAAUGAGUGAGACCCUCGGCAAUCAGUAGCGAAAGACUGAUAACAAAGAAAUCAUGCCAGUUUACACCAACUCAUCUUUGGUUCUACGGGAGAAGAGAUGGUCAAAGAGAAGAAACACAUUCCUUGCUACAAGAUGGGAAGUAACCUGGGAUGCUUUCCAAUGAUGUUUGCCUGAAACUGAAACCAGCCAACAACUGGAGGAGAGUUCCCAGUCUCUUGAAAUUCCCCCUCUUUAGUCUAGACUUAGAGAAGGUUGCUGGACUGUAACAGGCUGCUCAACUAUCUGGAUGAGAGGACUCACCGCCUUGGAAUUAAAGCUUUUGGAAAAACAGAAGAUGUGCUGGAUGAGGGUAGUGUUGUCCCUCUGGCCUGGCAGGUUCCAUGGGACACUUUUCCAAACAUCUCAUCUCUCACGUAUGGCCUGCAGUGGGGGACAAGAUUUUUCAUAAACCCUUAGCAGCUGUGAUAUGUAAGACGGGAUUUUUCCAAAGCACUUGCCCUAUGAACUCCACUUCUCUUGAAAUUAGCUGUGAAUGAUCUUGAUUUUCUGUGGGUCAAGGUAAAAACAAUAGGAGUUUUGUAAACUCCCGCAGAUGCAGCCAAGAUUUAGGCAUUCACCAUCUUGAAGUCUCUUUAGAGACAAGAGACAAAAUCCCAACAAGAGACCCUAAAUAAACAUGAAGCUUUCCCCAUUCAUUUCAGCAUAAAACAUAGGAGUGGAGAGCUCUUAUGAAGUUGCCUGAAUGUUCCUGCCUCUGUUCAUCCUACAAAACAGAUGUAAAAAAUAAUCUGAACAUAAGUUGAUGGACUUUUCAGAUAGAUGAAUGUGUAGUCUUGAGUUAAAUGAAACUUGGCCUUGAAGGGCUUUUUGUGAAUGGCCUCUGCCCUAAAGUAGAGAUUGUGAUGGUAGUCAUAGGGGAAACAGGUUUCUGCUAAAAUUAUCCCCGGUAGCCACCCUGGCCCUGAAAUCUGUCAUUGGGCUGUAGAGUUAGAUACAGAGUACAGGUCAGUAUUGGUAUAGGUUCAGUGGAUUAUUCACCAGUUCAGUGGCUCUGGUACACACAACCUGUGGUCUAGACUCCCACCAGAAUUCACCCCAGGCUGACUCAGCUAGCCCAGAGGGCCAUUAGGCAUGUCUGACUGGACCUAGUUCUUGGAGAAAGACUGAACUUCAGUUUCACUGCUCCUGGGGCCUGCUCCUUGAGUCCCAACUAGAAAAUGUUGUGUCCCCUCAAAGAUGUAAUACAGCUUUUUCCUGUAGCUGAUAAAAAUAAUUCAGUAUCCUCAAUAUCACCUGGCUUGGCAAAACACUGAAGUUUGAGUGAAAACUCCAUUAAAACCAACUUUUCUUUAAGUUCUUCAUCUCCUAGAGGUACCACUGUAAUGACUCCAGCUGUCUAAGCAUGCAGAGUAGAGCUGCCGCUCCCUGUGUGUGUGCAAUGUGUGUUCCUGGCUCCGCACGUCUGGGUGGUAAAAAUAGCAAUAUUUUAAAUCUAUUGGAAAUAUUAACGGCUUAAUUAUCAUCUGCUUUGGAGCUUUUUUCAGCCGAGACUAAGGAGAUACGAAGAAUUUGGCUGCUGUUCUCUGCGCCUGCACCACCCAGCCAUAAUGAGAGCUAAAACAACUCGGUGGCUACUGUAUUUUUAGUGGCCCCUCUGGCAGGAAGAGAUUAGAGGGAAUGGAGCUACUUCAAUAGCCCCUUGUUCCAGGCAUCUGUCUGUCCCCAGCAGACCCCUUGGCUGUGCAUAGCUGUUGUAAGAGCUAGCUUUAUAUGUCAGAGGGAAAGUAAAAUUUAUUUAUAGGCAGUCUGAGCGGCACAUUAUUCAGGGCUAGGUUGUUGACUCAUGCCCAUCUGAUAUCGUUUAAAGGGUUAGAUAUUGCCAGUGAACAAAAAAUAAGUGCUGUUACUCCCUUCUGGUCAAUAGAAUUAACUGUUCUUAAGCUGACAUUGGUUUUUACGGCAGAAGAAGCAUUGUGUCUCAAGGGUCCUGUUAUAAAUAUAUACACUUCUGAAAAGGUGCUAAUCUGGAUUUCCUUGGGAUUAUGGUGAUGGAGUCGGAAAUAUGAGGGCAGCAAAACCGGCAGAGCGCCUUCAGCUCUGUCGCAUACGUUCAUCUCUAUUAAAAGGACCUGCAGAAAUCAAGGAGGAUGGAGACAAAAGGCAGCUCUACUAACACCAAGGCUUCCUCCUUUUCCAUGGCAGAGUCUUGUAAAGGCCCUUCCCUCCUCCUCUUCAUCCCAGCCUGUCUCAGGAGUGUUCUCUUUGUUAAAUAGAAACUGCUCUGUUUCCUGUCUGUCUUGAGCCGUUGGCUUUUGGUGUCUGUUUUCAAGCCCUGAAUCACUCUCUGGGGAUGCAAGCUGGAAAGCUGAUGGGAACUGAUUGCCUAUCAGCAGCUGAGAUGCAAUUCUUGGCUUCACUCUUCUUGGGAAUCACAGUGUGCAGACCUGGACAGCAUCACGCGCAUAGCGUCACAGCUGAAAUUUACCCUGAGAUAUUUAACACUGAAGUGGAGGAAAAAGCUGAAAAACUAGGAGAGUAACUGCUUGAAAACUGGAAGUUCUUGGACUCGUAGAAAGGAGCUGGUUUUACAGAAACAGAGGUGACCCCGGGAGUUGGAGGGGCUGCUGGGACAGACUGCCUGCUGAAAGCCCUACCCAGAGGCUGCUCCCUGGAGUAGAGGAGUUUCAGAUGGGUGGCACCAAGAUGGACAUCUGCCUUAAGUGAUGAGGAGAGCCGCACGCAGCAGAACCCAUCUGAACCCAACAGCAAGGACCUGCCACACUCCUGCUUAAUCCAGGACAUUGUGGGAAGCCGUUUGCGGAUGCUGUUACACGCUUAUUUUCACCCCGAUGGGAAACCAGAGAAAUAGGAAAAAUGAGAGUGAAAGCCAUAGCAGUCACUAGGAUUGUGGAGCUGCCCACUUUUAAUACACGGCUCGCAGGUCUGGGGUCUGCCCUGAAGUCCCAGCUCGUGGGGAGUCUGCAGUCCCCCUGGGGAAGGAUUCACAGGCAAGCUUCAGUAUGAAAACCCUAACACCCGUGGGAAUGAGUGAAAUAAAGAUGACACAAAUUUUUCUUUAGAAAUCCCAACUUCUAAAGUAACAUCAGGAUUUUCCUGAGGUUUGACUCAUGGUUUGUUCUUUUUUUUUUUUUUUUUUUGGAAAGGCUACAGCUUCCCGAGGGGUGAUGGCAAGGCUGGGGUAUGAGAGCAGGGGGAGACAAGGUCUCCAGCAUUGGCUGCUCUGGGGAGGGAGUAUCGUUUCUGUGAGACAGAGCUCAGCUCUUGCAUGUUUGGGAAAUACUUGAUAACACAAACUUCUUUUCAGAGUCUUUACCUUGUGGGUUUUCCUGUUCACUCAUUGGCCUGACAGCUUAAGUUUUAUGGAAUGGGAGGGUCCUUUUAUUUAACUGAGAAGGUGACAGAGUUGCUAAUGCUGCCUUGCCUAGGGUAAAUUCCAGGGUAAAUGCCUCUAGCUCUUUAGCUCUGGGCUGGGAUUCAGUCCAUCGACUAGCUUCGAACGUGGUUGUUCUCAUUUCUGCCCUCCUUGGCACAGGAGGGACAUAGGCCAUGACUAAACUUUUCUGGCUUCGGUGCCAGCACAAUCGUGUGAGAGGUUCAGGGGCUGAAGAAAAUGCUGAAGAAUCACAUCUGAAAUUGAGUUUUUUGCAUGUCAGGCUGCAGAAGAAAAUGAGCAACCUCAGGCAAAAUUCAGGCAAAAGCUGUUACUCUUUGGCAGGCUGAAAACCAUCCAGUGCUUUCCAGAAUUGUUCAGAAGCAGCAGCAAGAGCAAAUGCAUAGGGGAUUUGCAGCCUUUCUUCUGGGCUGGCCCAGAAACCUCUGCCCUGAUCUGUUGGCCCCGGCUGGCCCGUUGCUGGAGGGUGACAGCCCCGGGAGAUGCAGAUGGGCGGUUGUUUAAGGACUGGCACAGUGUGCCCAGGUCAGCUGUGUGUUCUCAGAGCUGCUUGGUCAACAAACUCUGUAUAUACGCAUGUGUGUGUAUAUAUAUAUAUUAAAAAUACAGCACUUAUACACAUUCUUUUCAGAAACAAUGCUGCAGGCUAGAGGCACUGACAGUGGUCACUCUCCCUUACAGCAAUUAGCAAAGGCAUGUCUCAGUGCUGUCAGUGAAGCUGAUUUUUUUUUCUUCUGCUUCUAUUAAUAAGGCUGGCUUUGGCCUAGAGUAUAAUUUCACUCACCGUAUGUGGUUUUCUUUUCUGUCCUGGGAUGGAAGUGGGGAGUUGCUGUUUGGACAGUACUGGAGCACCCCAAACCCAGUGCAGAAACCCACCUGGAUGACAGAGACAGUCCUGCUGCAACAACCUGCAGUCUAAGUCUGGGCUCGGACCCUUGUUAUGGACUUAGCCCAGCUGCAACAUUGAAAAGAAAAAUAAAAAAGUGCCCUGCUGUCUUUUCUCCCUGGUAAUGCACACAUGUGGGAUAGGGUACCCUGAGAGAAGCCAAGCUGCUGAUCUCCUUUCUGUACCCAGAGAGGGAUGCUGGGGAAUGCUGAGGCACUGAGACAAGUGUGUCCUCACUUGCAGGCAGCACCCCGAUGGCUUUCCUAGGACUGACUUCCCCUGAGCUCUUCCAAAGACCUUUUGGAGAUGCCUGGAGGCACGUGUGGUGCACACCAGCAGUCCUUGGCCCUGGCCCAGGACCUCUCUGCCUUUUCUUCCUGUUUUCCUACAAACCGAUGGAAGGCUUGUAAAAAAUGCAGUCCCGGGGCUUUCGUGUUAAACCAUGUCACACCUCUGCUGCUUCCAGUGGCUUGGCUCUAGCUGAGCUCAGCUCAGGCCGCAGCAAAUGCUGCAGAAAGCUUCCCUGGCUUUGCUGAAAGAGAAGGCAAAGCGGGCCGGUGAGAGGCUGAGCGUCACCUCAUGUCUUAGUCCAACAUUAAUCUCAAAAGAAGUGAAAAAAGCAAAGGAGCCAUAAGGUGCUAUAACAGCAGUUAGUACAUAAGGUACUGGUGGCUUAAACCAAGGACUUGACAUUGCUGCACUGCAGUGGGAUGGUGGAGGGUGGCAAAGCCUGAGGCAGGGGUUUAUACACCUCUCCAAAAGCCUCAGGACAGAGGAGGAGAGAAGAGCAUCCUCUCCUGCCAAGAGUGCAGAGGCUGCCUGUGUGGGUCUAAGCGGAGGUACAGAGCCAUGUGGAGGAGACACCACGUGCUUAGAUCGAUCUAGACUUGGGCAUCUCGCUUUUUGCUCUUUUCCUUCUCUUUUUGUCCUGUCUCUAAGCACGAGAGCCUGAUCCUCCACCACCGGUGUGAGCAAGGGUUGUGGUGUCCUGCAUCAGCAAGAAGGCCAAGGGAAACCCCGAAACCCCAACACCUGAGCACUGUUGUUAUUGCCUGCACUUGCUGAGACAAACUGUUAAAAGCUGUAAGUGAAAGGCGUCUCUGGGGAGAGGCUUUCAGCUAGCAUAUAAAUCAAAAGUUCACCUAACUUUUUCCUCUCCCAUUUGUGCCAGUGUUCUAAUUCUGUUUGAUUUGGC